AGGGCGCAGGGCGAAUGCCUUGGCACUGGGAGCCGAUGAAAGACGUGAUAAGCUGCGAUAAGCUUCGGGGAGCUGCAAAUAAGCAUUGAUCCGGAGAUUUCUGAAUGAGGAAACUCACCUGGGUUCAUACUCAGGUACGUUAUACUGAACUUCAAAAUAGGUAUAUCGAGGGAACCGCCUGAACUGAAACAUCUAAGUAGGGCGAGGAAGAGACAUCAAACGAGAUUCCGUAAGUAGUGGCGAGCGAACGCGGAAGAGGGCAAACCGGAAGUAGAAAUACUUCCGGGGUACGGACCGCAUUUAGGACUUAAGUUGUUAACCGAACGGCAUGGGAAGGCCGGUCAGAGAGUGUGAGAACCACGUAGGUGAAAACGGAGAGAGCUGCGCAGGAUCCAGAGUACGGCCAGACACGUGAAACCUGGUCGGAAUACGGGGGGACCACCCUCCAACCCUAAAUACUACCCAGUGACCGAUAGCGUAUAGUACUGUGAAGGAAAGGUGAAAAGCACCCCGGGAGGGGAGUGAAAAAGAACCUGAAACCCUGUGCCUACAAGCACCUAGAGCACGUCAAUGUGUGAUAGGGUACUUUUUGUAGAACGGUCCGGCGAGCGAUUGUAUGCAGCAAGGUUAAGGACUUAAGGUCUGGAGCCGAAGCGAAAGCGAGUUUGAAAAGGGCGUUAAGUUGCAUAUAAUGGGCCCGAAACCGGGUGACCUACCCAUGGUCAGGUUGAAGUGGAAGUAAAAUUCCAUGGAGGACCGAACCGACCUCCGUUGAAAAGGCGGCGGAUGAACUGUGGGUAGCGGAGAAAUUCCAAUCGAACCCGGAGAUAGCUGGUUCUCUCCGAAAUAGCUUUAGGGCUAGCCUUGAAAUAGAUUACCGGAGGUAAAGCACUGAAUUGGCUAGGGGCCGAGAGGUUACUGAACCUUAUCAAACUAAGAAUGCCGGAUAAUCGUUUUUCAGGAGUCAGACAGUGGGAGAUAAGUUUCAUUGUCAAAAGGGAAACAGCCCAGACCCACAGCUAAGGUCCCCAAGUAUAGUUAAGUGGAAAAGGAUGUGGAAUUGCACAGACAACCAGGAUGUUGGCUUAGAAGCAGCCACUCAUUUAAAGAGUGCGUAAUAGCUCACUGGUCGAGUGAUUCUGCGCCGAAAAUUUCCGGGGCUAAAACUUACUACCGAAGCUACGGCAUCAUUAUGAUGGGUAGGGGAGCUUUCUAUGCGGCUUGAAGCAUGACCGUAAGGACAUGUGGACUGCAUAGAAGUGAGAAUGUUGGCAUGAGUAGCGAGAUGUGGGUGAGAAUCCCACAGGCCGUAAACCCAAGGUUUCCAGGGGAAGGUUCGUCCGCCCUGGGUUAGUCAGGACCUAAGCCGAGGCCGAAAGGCGUAGGUGAUGGACAACAGGUUGAUAUUCCUGUACCGCCAAUAAGCGUUUGAGAGAUGGAGUGACACAGUAGGAUAAGCUAACCGUACUGUUGGUUAUGUACGGCUAAGCAUUGAGGCAGUCUAAAUAGGCAAAUCCGUUUAGACAAUGCUAGGAUGUGAUGGGGAAGCCCUUCGGGGCGAAGUAGCUGAUUUCACACUGUCAAGAAAAGCUUCUAUCGAGUUUAAAGGCGCCCGUACCGUAAACCGACACAGGUGGGUGAGGAGAGUAUCCUAAGGCCAGCGAGAGAACUGUUGUUAAGGAACUCGGCAAAAUGACCCCGUAACUUAGGGAGAAGGGGUGCCUUCGAAAGAAGGCCGCAGAGAAUAGGCCCAAGCGACUGUUUACCAAAAACAUAGGUUUCUGCUAAGUCGCAAGACGAUGUAUAGGAGCUGACGCCUGCCCGGUGCUGGAAGGUUAAGGGGAUCUGUUAGAGCAAUCGAAGCAGUGAACUUAAGCCCCAGUAAACGGCGGCCGUAACUAUAACGGUCCUAAGGUAGCGAAAUUCCUUGUCGGGUAAGUUCCGACCCGCACGAAAGGCGUAACGAUUUGGGCACUGUCUCAACAACAGACUCGGUGAAAUUGUAAUACCGGUGAAGAUGCCGGUUACCUGCGACAGGACGGAAAGACCCCAUGGAGCUUUACUGUAGCUUGACAUUGAGUCUCGGUGCUACAUGUACAGGAUAGGUGGGAGACUAUGAAGCAUGGACGUCAGUCUGUGUGGAGUCAUCCUUGGGAUACCACCCUUGUAGUACUGGGAUUCUAACCAGAGGCCAUGAAUCUGGUCUUGGGACACUGUCAGGUGGACAGUUUGACUGGGGCGGUCGCCUCCCAAAAAGUAACGGAGGCGCUCAAAGGUUCUCUCAGUACGGUCGGAAAUCGUACGAAGAGUGUAAAGGCAAAAGAGAGCUUGAUUGCAAGACAUACAGGUCGAGCAAGGACGAAAGUCGGACUUAGUGAUCCGGUGGUACCGCAUGGAAGGGCCAUCGCUCAACGGAUAAAAGCUACCCUGGGGAUAACAGGCUUAUCUCCCCCAAGAGUUCACAUCGACGGGGAGGUUUGGCACCUCGAUGUCGGCUCGUCGCAUCCUGGGGCUGAAGCAGGUCCCAAGGGUUUGGCUGUUCGCCAAUUAAAGCGGCACGCGAGCUGGGUUCAGAACGUCGUGAGACAGUUCGGUCCCUAUCCAUCGUGGGCGUAGGAGUCAUGAGAGGAGCUGUUCCUAGUACGAGAGGACCGGAAUGGACGCACCACUGGUGCAACUGUUGUCGUGCCAACGGCAUAGCAGGGAAGCGAAGUGCGGAUGGGAUAAACGCUGAAGGCAUCUAAGCGUGAAGCCCACCUCAAGAAUAAGACUCCACAAUAGACCCCUGGAGGAUUACCAGGUAGAUAGGUCAUCGGUGGAAGCGCUGUAAGGCGUGU
rnacentral:rRNA from 1 species